UGCUGCUCUGUGCCCCCACCACCACCUCCAGUUUCCAGAGUGAAAUGUAUGGAGGAGAGAACCUUCUGGAAACAAGGCACCUUCUCCAGAGUGCUGGCUCUGGGGGUGGAGAGAGACAGUGAUACCAAGGAGGGAGAAGACCCAGAUCCUGUCCCGAGUUUUCCAGGACAGCUGAACGCACAGAACCAAACUGGAAGGGGCAGGACUGCAACGGGGAGGCAGCGCAGAGCCUGGGAAAGCCGCGCAGCCCCUCCUGUUGCAGCACCCACCAUUCCUGCUCGGUCUGCAACCUCUAAUUACACUGCUGGUGGCAAGAAUGAGGUCAUGGUGUCUGCAAGUGACUUUCCCAGUAACGAGCCCCUCUCAAAGGGGCAGGCUCCCAGCUCAGCCCCCUCCUGGGCCCUCAAAACUUGGAUGGCUGGAGGCAGAGAUUGCUGAAGAGCCGCCUAUGGGGUCCCAGGCUCCCUGCUCCCUACCGUGCAGACGUGCCUGGAGACUUCCAACCCCUGAAGAGACCUCCCUGACCGCCGCCCCCUGGUUGGUGCCUUGCCCUGGCUUUUGGGGAUCCAACUCUCCAAAGAAGAGUCCGUGGAGGCAAAGCUGUCUAGUGCCCAGAACACUUGAAUGGGGUCCUGCAAACCCUACCCAGCUGGCU